ACUCAAAGGAAUAGACGGGGGCCCGCACAAGCAGCGGAGCAUGUGGUUUAAUUCGACGCAACGCGAAGAACCUUACCUGGGCUUGACAUGUGAGUGACAGGUGUGGAAACACACCCUCCCUUCGGGGCACUUUCACAGGUGGUGCAUGGCUGUCGUCAGCUCGUGUCGUGAGAUGUUGGGUUAAGUCCCGCAACGAGCGCAACCCUCGUCGCAUGUUGCCAGCAUUUAGUUGGGGACUCAUGUGAGACUGCCGGUGACAAACCGGAGGAAGGUGGGGAUGACGUCAAGUCCUCAUGCCCCUUAUGUCCAGGGCUACACACGUGCUACAUUGGCGCGUACAGAGGGCUGCGAUACCGCGAGGUGGAGCGAAUCCCUUAAAGCGCGUCUCGGUUCGGAUUGCAGGCUGAAAUUCGCCUGCAUGAAGGCGGAGUUGCUAGUAAUCGCGGAUCAGCACUGCCGCGGUGAAUACGUUCCCGGGCCUUGUACACACCGCCCGU
rnacentral:rRNA from 1 species